GACGAACGCUGGCGGCGUGCCUAAUACAUGCAAGUCGAACGCAUUUUCUUUCACCGUAGCUUGCUACACCGAAAGAAAAUGAGUGGCGAACGGGUGAGUAACACGUGGGUAACCUGCCCAACAGCGGGGGAUAACACGUGGAAACAGGUGCUAAUACCGCAUAAUUCCAUUUACCGCAUGGAAGAUAGAUGAAAGGCGCUUUUGCGGCACUGAUGGAGCGACACGCGGUGCAUUAGCUAGUUGGUGGGGUAACGGCCUACCAAGGCUGCGAUGCAUAGCCGACCUGAGGGGGUGGUCGGCCACACUGGGACUGGGACCCGGCCCAGACUCCUACGGGAGGCAGCAGUAGGGAAUCUUCGGCAAUGGACGCAAGGCUGACCGAGCAACGCCGCGUGAGUGAAGAAGGUUUUCGGAUCGUAAAACUCUGUUGUUAGGGAAGAACAAGGAUGAGAGUGGAAAGUUCAUCCCUUGACGGUAGCUAACCAGAAAGCCACGGCUAACUACGUG
rnacentral:rRNA from 1 species